rnacentral:tRNA from 1 species
GGCCGCGUGGCGGAAUUGGCAGACGCAGCAGACUUAAAAUCUGCCGGGGGGUAACCCCCGUGGGGGUUCGAGUCCCCCCGCGGCCAC